rnacentral:SRP_RNA from 1 species
GCUAGGCAUGAUGGCACAUGCCUAUAAUCCCAGCUACUUGGGAGGCUGAAGCAGGAGGAUCUCUUGAGCCCACCACUGCACUCCAGCCUGGGUGACAGAGCAAGACUGUCUCAAAAAAUAAUCAAGCACUUUUUUUUUUUAGAGUCAGGGUCUUGCUCUUUCACCCAGGCUGGAGUGCAGUAGUGGGCUCAAGAGAUCCUCCUGCUUCAG